rnacentral:rRNA from 1 species
UACAGAGGGUGCGAGCGUUGUCCGGAAUUAUUGGGCGUAAAGAGCUCGUAGGCGGUUUGUCGCGUCGGCUGUGAAAACCUGGGGCUCAACCCCGGGCCUGCAGCCGAUACGGGCAAACUAGAAUUCGGUAGGGGAGACUGGAAUUCCUGGUGUAGCGGUGAAAUGCGCAGAUAUCAGGAGGAACACCGGUGGCGAAGGCGGGUCUCUGGGCCGAUAUUGACGCUGAGGAGCGAAAGCGUGGGGAGCAAACAGG